rnacentral:rRNA from 1 species
GUGGGGAAUCUUGCGCAAUGGGCGAAAGCCUGACGCAGCCAUGCCGCGUGAAUGAUGAAGGUCUUAGGAUUGUAAAAUUCUUUCACCGGGGACGAUAAUGACGGUACCCGGAGAAGAAGCCCCGGCUAACUUCGUGCCAGCAGCCGCGGUAAUACGAAGGGGGCUAGCGUUGCUCGGAAUUACUGGGCGUAAAGGGCGCGUAGGCGGACAGUUUAGUCAGGGGUGAAAGCCCAGGGCUCAACCUUGGAAUUGCCUUUGAUACUGGCUGUCUUGAGUUUGGGAGAGGUGAGUGGAACUCCGAGUGUAGAGGUGAAAUUCGUAGAUAUUCGGAAGAACACCAGUGGCGAAGGCGACUCACUGGCCCAAUACUGACGCUGAGGCGCGAAAGCGUGGGGAGCAAACAGGAUUAGAAACCCUUGUAGUCC